rnacentral:rRNA from 1 species
GAUGAACGCUGACAGAAUGCUUAACACAUGCAAGUCUACUUGAUUCUACUUCGGUAGUUGAUGGUGGCGGACGGGUGAGUAACGCGUAAAGAAUCUGCCCUUUAGUUUGGGAUAACCUUUGGAAACGAGGGCUAAUACCGAAUAUUAUGGAGAUGUCGCAUGACGACUUCAUGAAAGCUAUAUGCGCUAGAGGAGGACUUUGCGUCCCAUUAGUUAGUUGGUGAGGUAGUGGCUCACCAAGACCGCGAUGGGUAGCCGGCCUGAGAGGGUGAUAGGCCACAAGGGAACUGAGACACGGUCCUUACUCCUACGGGAGGCAGCAGUGGGGAAUAUUGGACAAUGGACCACAAGUCUGAUCCAGCAAUUCUGUGUGCACGAUGAAGGUCUUCGGAUUGUAAAGUGCUUUCAGUAGGGAAGAAAAAAAUGACGGUACCUACAGAAGAAGCGACGGCUAAAUAUGUGCCAGCAGCCGCGGUAAGAC